UUUAGGCUGGGACUGAAAUUGGGGUUCAUGGGCACCCUACAAACGCUGCGCAUGCGCGGUGGCCGCUACGCCCUCAGUGCUGCCGCCUUGUGGGCACAGCCGGGGCUGCAGCUGCGAGCGCUGCGGGCGCUUCCCGCGGCUCCGCCGGCACCGGGACCGGGACACGGAGCUGGACCGGGACAGCGACGGGGACGGGCCGGGCGGGGCCGCGGGGCCCUCGGCCGGGGCCGCUCCCGGUUGUGCUCCCGGCAGGACCCGCGGCCGCUGUGCCGGGAGCGCAGGCGCGGAGCGGGAGCGGCAAUGGCGGAGCCCGGGGAGCGGCGGGGCCGGGCCGGGGACAGCGGGGGAGACUGCGGCGGGCUCGGAGGGGGAGGAGGCAGCCGUGCCCAGGAGGAAGAGGAGGAGGAGUGGGAGGAUGGAGACAGCGGCCACCAAAGGCUGGGGGAGGCACAGCUCCAGGCUCUAGAUGAAGUCCCUCCUUUCCCAAGAAAGGGGAAACCCAGCAGGAUGUGAACCAGAGGAGGUGCUUUAGGAAAGGCCCUCCAGCCUGGGAAGGAGCUUUUGGCUCCGGACACAUUCCCAGUCCCCAGGAGCAGCAGGACCUGGGCUGUUCCCAGCAGAAUCCUCUAAGGCUGAAACAAAGACAAGGAACCUUUUGAGAUGGAAAGAGCCAGAGCAAGUUGUUUUGGGAAAGGAAAAUUAAAGAUGGUAAGUGCUAACACCUUUAUUCUUCCCUUGUCCUGAGGGAAUUCUGUACUCAGGAAUGGGUCAGGUCUGGAAAUUUCCUGGAGACACUGGAGAAUUAUCCCUGGUCUGCUGAAAAGUGGGAAAUCCCACUGGCAAUUGCAGCCCCUGAGGGAGGGCAAAAAGAGCAGGACCUCAGUCUGGGAGUGUGUGAGAAAUAAGGGAGGGACAAAUGUGUGGCUCAUCCCGUGCCCCAGAGCCCCAGGAAAAGGCCUUGGCUGAAGAACUGAAGUGUUGCUGCUCCACAGGGAGCCUCUGCCCAGGCCCUGGGAAUUGGGCUCAUCCCAGCUCCCUUCAGAGCAGGAGGAGCACCCACAGCCUGUGUGAGCCAUUCCUGGCUGGAGCUGGGGCCCGCUGGGCUCUUUCCCGUUUUCCUGCAGGCUGUGGCCGUGGCAGGGAAUUGGCUCCAGCAGGGCCAGGUCACAGCGGGGUCUGUGGCAGGGACAACUCCCAGAGCUGACAGGGAAGGGCCCUUCAGCCAUAUCCCGAAAAGCUGAGCAGGGAAAACACCUGCCUGCAGUCCUGGAGUCCUGGAGCUCUGGGGUUUCUGCACACCCAGGGACAUGGGAUAAUGCCAGAAUCACUCAAACCUUGGGAAGAAUGGAGUUAAUGCCACCCCUGGAGGCUGCUGGAGGCUGUUCUGGGCAGGCUCCUGCCCACCUCCACUGGGUGCAGAUGGCUGUGGAAGUGACAGAGGCAUUCAGGGAAUGCUGGUUGUGUUUCCCUCACUUUGGCAAUCUGGUCAGUAAAAAUACUAAGUGAGCUCCUCCAGCAGGGAAACGUUUAAGCAAGAGGUGCUUAACGUUGGAGAAAUGGAGUUUCUGAUUUUAAGUCUCCAACUUAAAAUCCCCUUUGGAUUGCCACUGGUCCAGUUUUCAUGGACUGGUCACCUUGGCCAGGAGUGUCCAGUCCUGCUGGAAAUGCACUGCACCAGGAUGGCAUUUUCAUCUCGUGCUGGUGAAGACCCUCUGGGUGACCCCCAGGCACUGGGAGGACUGGCCUGGGCUCCCAGGGCACUAAUUCCAGGAGUUGUGUUUUUGGGAAUAGCACAGGAGCCUUUCCCUUGCCCAGAGGUGCAGCCAGUGCUUCCCUUAGACCACAAAUCUCCAGGAUGCAACACAAAGAAAAUAACAGGAGUAUGGAAAUCCCCCACACUGGGAGUUUGUGGUGCUCUGGAUUACAUUUUGGAUUUAUAAUGUUAAAGAAGGGGUGUGGAGGGGUUUUCCUCUCUCUCCUGUUCAUUAUUGUACUUACUGCUCUUGUUGCUCCUACUGUUACUAUGUGUUGUCAUUAAUAUCAAAUUACUUUAUUUGCCUUGGGUUUCCAUUAUUAAACUGUUCUGAUCUCA